rnacentral:rRNA from 1 species
CCUACGGGAGGCAGCAGUGAGGAAUAUUGGUCAAUGGACGGAAGUCUGAACCAGCCAUGCCGCGUGCAGGAAGACGGCCCUAUGAGUUGUAAACUGCUUUUGUACAAGGGUAAACCUGAAUACGUGUAUCCAGCUGAAAGUACUUUACGAAUAAGGAUCGGCUAACUCCGUGCCAGCAGCCGCGGUAAUACGGAGGGUGCGAGCGUUAAUCGGAAUUAUUGGGCGUAAGGGGCACGUAGGCGGUAUGUUAAGUCAGGGGUGAAAUCCCCGCGCUCAACGUGGGAACUGCCUUUGAAACUGGCAAACUGGAGUGUGUGAGAGGAUAGUGGAAUUCCAGGUGUAGCGGUGAAAUCCGUAGAUAUCGGGAGGAACAUCAGUGGCGAAGGCGACUAUCUGGCACAUAACUGACGCUGAGGAGCGAAAGCGUGGGUAGCAAACAGGAUUAGAUACCCGGGUAGUC